rnacentral:lncRNA from 1 species
GGAAACCAGCUAAACAAGUUUCUGUCUGGUGGAUGCUGUCGGAAACUGGGCCUCCAGGCCAUCAUGAAUAAUGAAGAAGCCUGCUUCUUCCAGAGUGUAGGUCACAGCAAUUGCAAGAGACAAUUGCCCAGCAAAUCAAAGAUUAUAGCACCUGCCAGUAAUCCUAUCGGGCAACAAAUCUGAGAAGAGGUCCCCAAGCACGCUCACCAUGAAGCAAUGACACAGCACAGCGUCUCCUCGCAGCUAAGCUUCCACAGGGCUAACGGGAAAAAGAGUCAAGCUCCUUCCCUCUCUGAUUUCCUCAUAACAAGCACUAGAUUCCAGUGCAAUCCAGAAAAGGGAAUAUGUAAGACCUGCUCCAGGAUAAAGUGGCCUAUCCACUGCAAGACAAGAACUUGACGAGUGGGAGUCAGAGAAGCACAUGUAGGGGCAAAGGGCUGGAAGAGCAUUUCACCGGGGCAGGAGAAGUGCAUCGGUGAGAGGGCAACUGUUCCUUGAAGUGCUCUGAAGUGACUGCUCUGGAGGCUGGAGAUGGAGGUGAAGGUGCUGCGGGGCAACUGGUUUCCCUAGUUUUAAUGGGAGCAGCAGAGAGAAGGUAAAUGCAAUUUCCUUACUAAGACCCUGAGGCAGUGAGAGAAUCAGUGUUUUACGUGCAUGGCUCUGUGGCAGUGGCUAACUGAACACCAGAUUCCUAGAGAUAAACUGAAUGGGACAGCUUGCUAAAUUACUUCUUUCGUAUACGGGGAGAGAAAUCCUGGCACGC